rnacentral:rRNA from 1 species
AUUGAACGCUGGCGGCAGGCCUAACACAUGCAAGUCGAGCGGAUGAAGGGAGCUUGCUCCUGGAUUCAGCGGCGGACGGGUGAGUAAUGCCUAGGAAUCUGCCUGGUAGUGGGGGAUAACGUCCGGAAACGGGCGCUAAUACCGCAUACGUCCUGAGGGAGAAAGUGGGGGAUCUUCGGACCUCACGCUAUCAGAUGAGCCUAGGUCGGAUUAGCUAGUUGGUGGGGUAAAGGCCUACCAAGGCGACGAUCCGUAGCUGGUCUGAGAGGAUGAUCAGUCACACUGGAACUGAGACACGGUCCAGACUCCGACGGGAGGCAGCAGUGGGGAAUAUUGGACAAUGGGCGAAAGCCUGAUCCAGCCAUGCCGCGUGUGUGAAGAAGGUCUUCGGAUUGUAAAGCACUUUAAGUUGGGAGGAAGGGCAGUAAGUUAAUACCUUGCUGUUUUGACGUUACCAACAGAAUAAGCACCGGCUAACUUCGU